UACAGAGGGGGCAAGCGUUGUUCAGAAUUACUGGGCGUAAAGGGCGCGUAGGCGGCCCGCUAAGUCGAACGUGAAAUCCCCGGGCUCAACCCGGGAACUGCGUCCGAUACUGGCAGGCUUGAAUCCGGGAGAGGGAUGCGGAAUUCCAGGUGUAGCGGUGAAAUGCGCAGAUAUCAGGAGGAACACCGGUGGCGAAGGCGGGUCUCUGGGCCACUACUGACGCUGAGAAGCGAAAGCAUGGGGAGCGAACAGG
rnacentral:rRNA from 1 species